AAAUUAAUCACGAUCGACUACAUCUUGCACUAUCGAGAAAAAUUCUUUAUACUAUAUAAAAUAAGAUCAAUAUCUUUGAUCUAAAAUUUUAAUAUAUAUAUAUAUAUAUAUAUGAGUGAGGCUAAUAUGCUUCUGGAAGCACGGAGCCCUUCGUGCUUUCAAGUUGUUUUCGAUGUUGGGAUUUUCGAAUCGACAAUCGUCUCCGUUAAACUUGAUCUAGAGUAUUUGAAAUACUUAGAAAAUAAAUUUUGUGAUUUUUCGAUAUCAUGUGUCUAGUGAUCGAAGGAGAUCAAAAUCAAUAUAUAUUUCUUAUAUAUAUUGAAAUAAUAUAGUACUUGAAAAUAUACUAUAUUUAGU
rnacentral:lncRNA from 1 species